UGCGUAGGCGGUGAGGUAAGUCUGGUGUGAAAUCCCGAGCUCAACUCCGGAAUUGCACUGGAUACUGCCUUACUUGAGCACUGGAGAGGGAACUGGAAUUUACGGUGUAGCAGUGAAAUGCGUAGAUAUCGUAAGGAGACCAGCGGCGAAGCGAGUUCCUGGACAGUUGCUGACGCUGAGGCACGAAGGCCAGGGGAGCAAACG
rnacentral:rRNA from 1 species